rnacentral:rRNA from 1 species
GUCUGGAGCCAUACCACCCUGAAGGCACCCAGUCUCAUCUGAUCUCAGAAGCUAAGCAGGCCUGGUUAGCACUUGGAAGGGAGAAGCCUGGAAUAUUCUGUGCCAAACU